CGUUUUAUGACCAGCAUAAAUUCAGAAAAGUUGUUCUUUUUACCGUUUAAUACCGGCAACGAGUUAGACUUUAAUUCUAAAUUCAUCUAUUAUAAUUUUUCAUAUUUUUACAUUGUGUAGAAAGUUUUCAUCUCACAUUUGUUUUGCCUUACAGUGGACAUUGGUUGUUGGUCGCGAUUAAUCCUAUCAGUGAAGUUGUAUAUUUUCUGGAUUCCUUACACAAUCCAGUUAGUACAUACGAAGCUAUGAAGAAUUUGGUUGAUACCGUUAUACAAGUUUUUCGAGCACAAAAAGGAAGUCAAGUACCAAAGAGUAAAGCCAACAACAUCACAUGGAUUCAAAUGGAGGUAUAUUAAUUAAUGUUUCAAAAUUUUGAUUAUAUAAAUAGUGAUGAUAUAUACGUGAUAAAACUUAGGCCUUAUCCAUAUUUUCUUUCCAUGUGUAGUGUCCUAGGCAGCGUAAUGAAGUAGAUUGCGGUUUUUACAUGUUGCAGUAUAUGAAAGAAAUUCUUCUUUCGAAUCAAAUAGAGAUUCCGUCCAAAUAUUUUGACGACUUCAAGUGUGCUACUUACUCAAAAUCUAAGUUGGAUGAACUUAAGGAGGAAUGGUGUCAAUUCAUGAUUGAGUUGAAAGUUGUAUAGGAUAUUGAAGGGUAAAAAGGUUAGCUGGCAAGAAGAAAAAGUAGAUAUUUAGCAUCCUUUUGACUUGUGUAAAAAAUAACAAUGUUUUGGAUAAUGCAAUUGUUUUCAUUGAAUUGGAUGUAAUUUUGUUGUUGUUUAUUAAUAUAUU